ACUCAGCUGACAGGUCCCAAAUAGGAUGAAACACGCGUCCUGGAU
rfam:Schistosoma curassoni strain Dakar, Senegal genome assembly, scaffold: SCTD_scaffold0000375